rnacentral:rRNA from 1 species
UACGUAGGUGGCAAGCGUUGUCCGGAUUUACUGGGCGUAAAGAGCGCGCAGGCGGUCGUUCAAGUCGCGUGUGAAAGCCCCCGGCUCAACUGGGGAGGGUCACGCGAUACUGAUCGACUCGAAGGCAGGAGAGGGUAGUGGAAUUCCCGGUGUAGUGGUGAAAUGCGUAGAUAUCGGGAGGAACACCUGCGGCGAAGGCGGGUUGCUGGGCUGACACUGACGCUGAUGCGCGAAAGCCAGGGGAGCGAACGGG